UAGGGAAUCUUCCGCAAUGGACGAACGUCUGACGGAGCAACGCCGCGUGAGUGAAGAAGGAUUUCGGUUCGUAAAACUCUGUUGUUAGGGAAGAAAAAAUGUAUAGUAACUAUAUACAAAAGAGACGGUACCUAACCAGAAAGCCACGGCUAACUACGUGCCAGCAGCCGCGGUAAUACGUAGGUGGCAAGCGUUGUCCGGAAUUAUUGGGCGUAAAGCGCGCGCAGGUGGUUUAGAAAGUCUGAUGUGAACGCCCACGGCUCAACCGUGGAGGGUCAUUGGAAACUAAUAAACUUGAGUGCAGGAGAGAAAAGUGGAAUUCCUAGUGUAGCGGUGAAAUGCGUAGAGAUUAGGAGGAACACCGGUGGCGAAAGCGGCUUUUUGGCCUGCAUCUGACACUGAGGCGCGAAAGCGUGGGGAGCAAACAGG
rnacentral:rRNA from 1 species